UUGCAAGUAAAAGGGACCAAAGUCUAUCAUCCUAACCACCACUCUGAAGAUGAAACGCAGUUAUCCUUUACUUGCUGUUAGUGGAUAAUUGGCCUAAAUGAGAAAACUUAAUGCGGCUAAGGUUUAUCUAAGCAAUGUUUCAUUUACAACUAACAAUUUAUCUGUAGAUGUAUCAUAGUGAAGAACCUGCGGUUUAAUUAGUCCAUCUUCAUGUGAUAAGAGUUCUCUGUAGCGUUUUCCAUCACAAGAGAUAACAAUUGCAUUGUCGCUAUUAGCUCCCGCUACAAACACGUUUCCAUUGUUGUCUGCUGAGAUACCAAGUGGAGUCUUCAAAACAUUCGCAUUACUAAAUGUCCACAGUAUUUUACCCUGGUAAUCACAACAGGUUACACUGUCAUCUCUAUGAAUUGUGUAGAACAAUCUGCUUCUGAAUGUCGUAACGUAAGAAGCGUACGAAAGUGCGUUAUUAGAACCAAUAGUGGAAACUGAUCCAUCAAAACAACUAAUCAUACGUAGUCCUUCUUCCCUACUACAAUAAAUCAAAUUUCCAUCAAUGUAUGCUACUCCAUCAUUGUCUUUCACUCCAUCACAAAAUGUGCUCACUUUUAUCGCUUUCUCUCGUCUAUUUUUCUUUAUGUUGAUUACAUUAAUCGGAAAUGACUGCCCAGAUGACACAGCAACACAAUCAUUUCCAAUAUAUACUAGAUCGAACGUAUCAGCAAUAUUUUUUAUUUCGAAAUCUAGUUGCCCGAAAGAUUUGAAUACCGAUAAUUUGUUCUUUGUAAAACAAGAGAAAACCAUUCUACCAUCAGGAAGCAAAGAACACCCUCGGACAUUUAUCAAUCCAGUAUUGAAAUGGUUCUGUAAUGUAAGAUUCAUGCUAUCUAAUUUGUUAGUAACAUGAGCUAAACAAAUCUGAGCUUGUUUGUCUUUCUGUUUCUGGAUCGACAAAGCGCUUGUAUAAGAACUGACUUUCAUUUCUACACACCUCAGAACGCUAGUUGUGAUUUGUUGUAAAGACAGUUGGUUAACUUGGCAUGAUAUAUUUACAUGAUUCAUUGAGUCACUCUUGGUUAUCGAUUCAAUAAAUUGCUCCUUGCUUGCAAUAUCCUUUUCUAAAUUCUUCAUGGCCAAAAAUAUUUGAAGUUCGGACGCAUGUUGUUUAAUAACUGUAAAGUUUUCUUGAUAUUCUGUGAUCUCUUCUUCUUGCUUUUUUAGAGUGGUCAACAACUUUUGUAUUUUACUGCUUUCCAAUUGUUCAAUCUCUAUUAAAUUAAGUAUCAAAUGACCUUGAAGCUUAUCAAGGUGAUUAUUUAUUUUGGUUUUUAUUUGUUUGAUUUCAUCUUUAAUUUCAUUUUCUUUGUUUUUCAGUGAUUCUAGAUUGUAUUCCCGGUUAGCAAUAAUUCGUUUAAUAUUAUCGACAACUUCUUGCAGGGUUUGUUCGAUUUCAUGAAAGGCAUCUGAAGUUUUGACGUUUUUUGUGUAUUCAUUGAUGUCGAAUAAACUUUCACAAUCGUUGUGAUUUACACAUAUCUUACAGCAAGGGCAAUCGUGUUCACUACAAAAAAGCUCGUAUCUCUCAUUAUGUAUUUUACAGUCCUGGGCAAUUUGUAGGACUUCUGCUGGCAAUUUCUUGUAUUUUACAGUAUGGUGUAGUGUAUCCUUGGAAACACUGUGAUUUUUCUUACACUCUCUACAUAAUCCGUUGUUACACUCGGAACACCAGACUUCUGACGGUUUGAUGAUAUGAUGAUUAUAACAAACACCACAAAGACUCCAAUUACUGGUCAUGAUCCU
rnacentral:lncRNA from 1 species